AUCCAGUCCAUUUCCAAAUUUCUCCCAUUGUCCCCAAAACAUAUUUUACAGUUUUAAUGAGGUAGAAUUAGCAUACAGAAAGUGGAACUUGUUUAAAGUGUACAAUUUGAUGAGUUUUGACGUGUGCACCUUUCCAACCAUCAUGACAAUACAAAUAAUGAACAUAUCAAUCACCCCAAAAAAGUUUCCUUAUGCCUCUUUGUCAUUCAGCCCCCUUUCCCCACAUUCUUCCCACAUCCACAGGCAAUCAUGGAUCUGUUUUCUAUUGUUAUAGAUUAGUUUGCGUUUCCUACAAUUUUAUACACAUGGAAUAAUACUAUAGGUACUCUUGUUUGGCUCCUUCCAUCCAGCAUAAUAAGUUUGAGAUUCAUUCAUGUUGUUAUAUGCGUCUAUGUUCAUUCCUUUUUAUUGCUAAGUGUUAUUUCAUUAUAUGGAC
rnacentral:lncRNA from 1 species